rnacentral:lncRNA from 1 species
ACUAGCAACCUGCACUUCCCUCUCGUCUCCCACACUCACGCUCACACUCCCGGCUCACACUCAGCCAAACCGGCGGGCAGAGAAAGUUGGCAAUGGCGCCACGGGCUGCCACCGUCCUGCUCUGCACCGCGCUAAUCUGCCUCUCGGCGACGCACUCCCUCGCGCAGGCGCCCGCCCCGGCCGGCAACGCCCCGCCCAAGUCGCCCAACGCGACGCCGGCCCCCGCGGCGGCCGCGGCCACGCCCACUGCCUCCCCCGCCCCGCCCGCCGCCGACGCGUCCGCGCCACCCACUACCACCCCGUCUGCACCCGCGCCCAAGUCUUCCCAGGCCACCCCCGCGCCGACCACCACUCCCGCCACACCGGCNNN